GAGCAGUGACACUCCGGAUCAAUACCGCAUGAAUAAAAACCCCGCUCGCCCAUCUCCUCUUUCUUCCUCUCUCCCUCGUUCCCCUUUUCCUUCCCUCCUUUCUGCUUCCCUCUCUCGGCGCUUUCGGCUGGAAGAGUUGGUGGCGGGGUUUCUCUCGCUCUCUCCCCCCGCGCAAGGCCCCCCCCCCCGCUUCUGCUUUUGUUUUCCCCCUCUUUCUUUCUUCCUUCCUCUCUCUCUCUCUCUCUUUCUGGACGGGUCUUUGCUUUUCCUCUCCCCUUUUUUCCCCCCUUACCGUUUGCAGAGCGCAGGGCGAGCGGCGAUUUGAGGCGCCAUCCGUUCUCCGGGCCGGCGGAUCUUUGGAAGACCAAGGGGACCGGCAGCGGGAUGAACAUGUCGGGGACCUGUCACCAAAGAUGAAAUGUACCACACAGACCCCAAGUCUGUUGUUCCCCAAUACUAUAACAAAAGGGAAAAGGCGAUGGCCGUUUUGGAGAGGGUUUGAUCUUGCCCAAAGGCACUCUCUUUCUGGAGUGAAGCUGGGAAGGGGGUACAUGUGCACAUCAUUGCAGCCGUUCAUGGAAAAAGGAAGAUCUGUACGUGCUAAUAAUAAACCACCGUAGGAAAAAGGAGCCGAGUUUAAUCAUAAAUCCGCCCAUCCAAAGCAACAAGGCAGAAUCACCCGACAGGACUUGGGCCAUUUCCACGAAAGGCAUUUGAACCAGGUUUUUCUUGUUGUUUUUUUGUUUUGCAUUUCCAGCAUCUGCAAUUCAAAUGUAAAACCUGAACAGGCGAACUUGAACAUUAUGCUUUCCCAGUUUCAAACCUAUUUUAGUAACAUUAGAUGUUCUGAGUGGCAAUUGUGAAAAUGCCCCAUAGCUUCUGGGCCAAGUGAUGUCCUGCUCCCUGCCCAUUUCAGCCCAAGCAAAACAGAAGGACGACGUCACUCUUUAAAAGCGUACAGUGUGGAUGUGUCUUUUCCAGUCCACACCCUUUCUGCACCAGUAUCUACUAGGGAGAAGAAGGGGGGGGGGCUGUUUCAAUGUUGUUGCCUAUUAUAUUGUAAACUGUCCUAAAUCCUUGGGGACUGGAAGAGAUAGAAAUGAAAACCAUCCUAAAUAGGUAACCAAUGUAAAUGUCUGAUGUGAAAAGUAUGGAGGAAAGGGUAGACAGACUGGAAGAGAAGAACAUAUAUGUCAACAUGGGAAUACAGAAGUGGGUUUCUUUCCUCCACAUAAGCAGAGAUACAAAACCAGAAAAAAGCGAACGUGCAUGUAUGCUCACUUGAACUUAGGGCUAUAUUUUCUUCUUUGAUCUGCAGACCCUUUCCUUAUUCUAUAACACAAGCUACUUUUGGAACUCCACCCAGUUUUUUAAAUGGCUGGUGUUUGAGCACUCCAAAACCCACUUGUGUGAGAGGAACUAGCACACUUCUUUGAGUUUGGCCCUAAUUUCUCUCUAUCGGUAGAUUAUGCAGAUGUGGUGUGUGGUGUUGUUUUUUAAAAUAACCUAGCUUUCACAUUUUCCUUUGUACAUUCAAGCAGCAAUUCAGAAAUAACUGAGUGCAAGAAGGUGUUUCACACAAUUAGAACAUGCCGAUAAUAACCACACUCCAAGGCCCCCAAUAGUGGAAGGGAAUUGCACAUUUCUGACUGCGUCACACAAGAUGGAUGGAAAGGCAUAUCCUCCUCCACAUAAUGUUGUACUGAUGUGGACCACAUUGAUAGAAUAUACACCUGCAUCCAAUUAGAACUGACACCUUGGGCAUUGCACGCAGGAUUCCCAAUUCAAUUCUGGGAACUGAAUGUGCAACUUUAGUUGCUACAUGGAUCUCUUGGCUGCCAUCCAGCCAAGGGACCCAAGCAUGCAACAGCUUUGUAGCACACAUGAAUCCUGAUUCAGCACAGGAAUUGAUAUAUGGAAGCCACCUACUGUUCAUGGGUAUCUCUUGGUGGACUGGAUAUAUACCGUAUCACAUCCUUCUACGCUGAAUUAAUUAAUCACAAAUAAAGAGCACCCCUGGCUGGUUCUGUGCUCCCAAAUCAAUUCAGGUGGAUAAGAAUCACCAAUAAUCAUACAUAUGCACAGCCUUUGAGUCAUCUGGGGCUUGCAUACAAAUACGUGAUUGAAAAAGAGUUAAAAGAGAAGCCAAUCUGUGUUAGAUAUUCUUGUGAAAGCACCUUACUGUUCCUGCAAAGUACAGGAUCUGUCACUUUGCAGUUCUGCAUGGUGGUAAAGCUUUUGCAUGUGUUAAGGUACUUCUUUUCUUCAUUUAGAACUAAAAACAUGUAUAAUUUCUUCUCCCCACAUACACCAUUCCAUGUUUGUUUACCUUUUAAACAUCCAACAGAAAAGCGGUACAUUUUUAGUCCUUCUUCCGCUACAAUCUCACAUCCACAUUUCAGCCUGGGCCUACAAUCAAAGCACUAUGAAGAUUUGAAGGACUAGAAUGAGACUUGUAAACUCAGUCCAACAUAAAUGAGGAUUAGGGAGAAAUUUCAGAAAGAGGUUCUAACAAGACAGUUAAUGGACUGUCUGACCAAUUACUGAGAAAUCUGGAAUUAAUACUCUCGCCCCAAUUGUUCAUUCCAAAUCUUAUUAAAAUCUUAUCAGGUCCUCUUCUUUAAAAAAAAAAUUCAUUUGCUAAUUUGGCAGCAAUAGUGGGGAAAAUCUGGGAAGAGGUUGAAGAGGGAGUGGUAUUUAAAAACAAAACAAAGCAGGAACAAUUUAAUCAGAAAUGGCUCUUCUCCAGAAAGUAAAAUGAAAUUUAAAAAGGAAAUCAAAGGAAGAAAGAAAGAGGAAUGUAAGAUGGGAUUUCUUUGUUGCUGCCAAACACUCGCUGGGGUGUUGUCAGUGAACAUAGAUUUGUUGCAAGUUGGGGAGGGCACCAUCCAUUAGCUUCCCCCACCUUUAUCUUCUUUUAGGGAGAGGGUGAUACCUAGAAAGCCCUUUACCCCCAAUUUCCCUGCCUACAGAAGGGAAUGUAGCAAAGUGCAGAUUUCUGGCAAAAAGAGUACUGCAAGAAGAGAACAUCAAAUAUGCACAAAAGGGUUUUCUGAUAUGGAAAAUAAAAUAUUUGUGGUAAACCUU